CCUGCAGUUUUGGUCCACAGCUGGUUGGAUCACCAGUGGGUUCAGCAAAAGGGACAGAAGCAAUUUCCUCCUGAGGCAUAAAAAGCACCCCAACCUCUACCUCUAAUAUUUGAUUUUCCUCAUUGUCUGGACCAGGUGCCACAGGACCUUGUUUUCUGAGUUAGUCUCCUUCAAAAUCUCAUGAGAAAACAGAGAUGUGUGGGAGAUCAAGGAAGAAGAGGCUCUGAACUGGGAAUCCAGACCAAAAGUGCAGUGCUCCAUACUGGAGUUAACACCAUCCUGUGAGAGGCACAGGAUCCCCCCCACUGUGCACAACCACCAAGUCCAGCAUCUUAUAUUUUGUCAAGAGUUUUGGGGAAGGAUGGAAUGAAUUUUGCCCUAGAUUCACUGACUCCAGAUACUCAGAUUGUGG